rnacentral:rRNA from 1 species
UACGAAGGGGGGCUAGCGUUGCUCGGAAUUACUGGGCGUAAAGGGAGCGUAGGCGGACUGUUUAGUCAGAGGUGAAAGCCCAGGGCUCAACCUUGGAAUUGCCUUUGAUACUGGCAGUCUUGAGUACGGAAGAGGUAUGUGGAACUCCGAGUGUAGAGGUGAAAUUCGUAGAUAUUCGGAAGAACACCAGUGGCGAAGGCGACAUACUGGUCCGUUACUGACGCUGAGGCUCGAAAGCGUGGGGAGCAAACAGGG